ensembl:lncRNA
AUCAUCUCCCUCACCCUUCUGGCCUCAUUCCUUGUUUAAUGCAGCCCAGGAUAUAGUUGGCUUUUUGGGCUGUGGCUAUGAGGGCACAUUGCUGGCUCAAGUCUAGCUUCCCAUCCACCAGUACUUCCAAGUCCUUUUCAGCAGGACUGUACUCCAUCCUUACAGCCCCCAGCUUGUGUUAAUAGAGGGGGCUGCCAUGACCCAAGUACAAGACCUUGCACUUGGCUUUGUUGAAUCUCAUGAGGUUCACCCAGGCCCACUGCUUAAGACUGUCCAUGUCACUCUGGAUGGCAUCCUAUCCCUUAGGCAUGUCAGCCACACCACACAGCUUGAUGUCAUCCACAAACUUGCUGAGGGUGCACUCGAUCCCACCGUCAAUGUUGUUGAUGAAGAUAAUAAAGAGUAUUGGUGCCAGUACUGAUCCCUGAGGGACAUCACUUGCCACUGAGCUUCAUCUGGUCAUUGAUCUAUUGACCACCGCAAACUGGGUAAGAUCUUGCAGCUAAUUCCUCAUCCAUCAAACGGUCUACCCAUCAAAUCCAUAUCCUUCCAAUUUGGAGAGAAGGAUGUUAUGGGGGAUCAUGGCAAAGGCCUUAUAAAAGUCCAGAUAAAUGACAACAGUGGGCCUUCCCUUCAUACAUUGUACCUAUUUUUGGCAAGUUCUGUUGGACUAACUUGCAAUUGUUUUUAUAGAUAAAGAUAUAUAGAGGGAAGAGUAUGAAAUUUCCCUGGUUCGUUUAAAAUUUUAUUUGGCACAACUUGCAUAGGUACACUCCAGAUAACUUUUGGUGCUUUUUCUCUGAUCUGCUGCUCCUUACAAUUGCCAAAAUAAGCAGUUUAUUUCUGGAAAAAGACAGAACUUCCAUCCUGUAAUACACUAUCCAGAUAUAAACUGCCACCCUUCUCAUUGUUGCUGAUUUUUCAAAAAGCAUUGAAGUUGAUAUUUCAUACACUUGAUGAUGUGGAAGACUGAAUUAUUUGCAUGUGUCAAGUCUGAACUUAGCUGCUUUUCAAAUAAAUUAAGCUCAGUAUUUAAUCUUGUUUCACAAUGAUCAUCUCAUUAGACAUAUUCAUUAAAAAAAACUUAAUCUUUUCAUUUAACAGUUUACAAAAAUCAAAAAUUAUUUUUUUUAAUAUUUCAAUCUCUCUUAAAGCAAAAAAAAAACUGAUUUUAGUCAUAGCAUUCUUUAACUUUUAUUUUCUUUUAAUUGUGGUUUAAAAUUUGUAUAUGUAUCUUGGCUAUUAUUUUUAGGGGUGUUAAUAUUGCUAUUUAUUAUUUUUAGCAGCAGUAUUUACACAUUCCAACAGGGAUUUACCACUACAUUAUAUUAAAACUAUUCAAACAAUUAACUCAACGUCUGUUUGUGUUCCAGGGAUCUCAUAAUUUAGACUGGGGUGUGGAAAGGAAAAGAUUUGGCAGAGGAAAUUUAAAAUACACUCAUUAAAAUAGCAGUACCUACUGCCUUGCAAGCUCUGCAGAACAGCUGAGGGUCAGUGAGACAUACUUAAUUUUCAUACCCUAAAUCAGUGUACUAAUGAAAUGGUGUUUUUUAAAAGCUUCUUUCACACAUUUAUUCCUUAUAGGAAAUUACCACUGGAUAUAAGUGCUUUGGAACAUUUGAGAAAGGUUUCCUUAACAUAGAAAAUAAGG